rnacentral:rRNA from 1 species
GACGAACGCUGGCGGCGUGCUUAACACAUGCAAGUCGAACGGAAAGGCCCUGCUUGCAGGGUACUCGAGUGGCGAACGGGUGAGUAACACGUGGGUGAUCUGCCCUGCACUUCGGGACAAGCCUGGGAAACUGGGUCUAAUACCGGAUAGGAGCCAUUUUUAGUGUGAUGGUUGGAAAGUUUUUUCGGUGUAGGAUGAGCUCGCGGCCUAUCAGCUUGUUGGUGGGGUAAUGGCCUACCAAGGCGGCGACGGGUAGCCGGCCUGAGAGGGUGGACGGCCACAUUGGGACUGAGAUACGGCCCAGACUCCUACGGGAGGCAGCAGUGGGGAAUAUUGCACAAUGGGCGCAAGCCUGAUGCAGCGACGCCGCGUGGGGGAUGACGGCCUUCGGGUUGUAAACUCCUUUCGCUAGGGACGAAGCUUUUUGUGACGGUACCUAGAUAAGAAGCACCGGCUAACUACGUG